GUCAAAUCCUACGGGAGGCGGCAAUUUUUGAAUAUUCUUCGCGCAAGAAAAACCUCUAUGUGAGAUUACUGUGUGACCGUACCGCAAACCGACACUGGUACUCUGGUAGAGUAUACCGAGGUGUACGAGUGAUCCCUCGUUAAGGAAUUCGGCAAAUUAACCCCGUAACUUCGGGAGAAGGGGUCCCUGCUUCGGCAGGGCGCAGAUAAAUAGCCCAAUCGACUGUUUAACAAAAACACAGGUCCCUGCAAAAGCGCAAGCUGACGUAUAGGGGCUGACGCCUGCCCAAUGCCAGAAGAUUAAGGGAGGGGGUUAUCCUUCGGGAGAAGCCUCUGACUCAAGUCCUGGUCAAUGGCGGCUGUAACUAUAACGGUCCUAAGGUAGCGAAGUUCCUCGGCGCUUAAUAGGCGUCCCGCACGAAUGGCGUAACGAGUUGGGCACUGUCUCAACGAGGGGCUCGGCGAACAUUGAAAUGGCAGUGAAGAUGCUGCCUACCCGCACCAGGACAAAAAAGACCCCGGGAUCUUUACUGCAGCUUGGCAUUGGGAUAGCGUUCCUUUUGUAGAGCGUAGGAGGGAGACUUUGAAGUCUCGUCGUCAGGCGGGGCGGAGUCGUCAAUGUAACACCUCCCUAAAGCUAUGCUAUUUCUAAUUCAAACCGUAAUCCGGUUCUGAAGACAGUGUCUGGUAGGCAGUUUGACUGGGGCGGUUUCUUACUAAAAAGUAACGUAAGAUUCCAAAGGUCGACUCAAGCUGGAUGGAAAUCAGCUGAAGAGCAUAAUGGUAUAAGUCGGCUUUACUGCAAGACUG
rnacentral:ncRNA from 1 species